rnacentral:rRNA from 1 species
GAUCAUGGCUCAGGAUGAACGCUAGCUACAGGCUUAACACAUGCAAGUCGAGGGGCAGCAUGGUCUUAGCUUGCUAAGGCCGAUGGCGACCGGCGCACGGGUAAGUAACACGUAUCCAACCUGCCGUUUACUCUUGGACAGCCUUCUGAAAGGAAGAUUAAUACAAGAUGGCAUCAUGAGUUCACAUGUUCACAUGAUUAAAGGUAUUCCGGUAGACGAUGGGG